rnacentral:tRNA from 1 species
UCUCCCGUAGCUCAGCAGGGAGAGCGCCACCUUGACAGGGUGGAGGUCCCUGGCUCGAUGACAGUCGGUAUUA